CGGGCAGUAGCUCAGUAUUAGAGCUCCCGCUUCAUAUGCGGGAAGACCUGGGUUCGAUUCCCGGCUGCUUAC
rnacentral:tRNA from 1 species